rnacentral:rRNA from 1 species
UACGUAGGGUGCAAGCGUUGUCCGGAAUUAUUGGGCGUAAAGAGCUCGUAGGCGGUUCGUCGCGUCGGCUGUGAAAACCCGGAGCUCAACUCCGGGCCUGCAGUCGAUACGGGCGGACUCGAGUUCGGCAGGGGAGAAUGGAAUUCCUGGUGUAGCGGUGAAAUGCGCAGAUAUCAGGAGGAACACCGGUGGCGAAGGCGGUUCUCUGGGCAUUACCUGACGCUGAGGAGCGAAAGUGUGGGGAGCGAACAGG